GGCUGAGGAAAGGGCUGGGUUGCAAGGGUCCGAACCUCACUCUUCUGUCCCCCGCAAGAUCUGGCCACAGGCAUGAGGGGCCCCUGGCAGAGAUGAUAGUGCUGGCGCCAGCCUGGAGCCCAACACCAGAGACCCACGGACAAGGUCCCAACGCUGAGACCCCGCUGCUGCUGCUGCUGCUGCUGCUGAGUCCCGGCCUUCGCGGGACCCCGGGUUGCUCCUUCCAGUACAACCCCAUCUCCUCCACCUUCGAGACCAAAAUCCGCGAGCUGGCUGACCACCUGCUCCAGGACUACCCGGUCACAGUUGCCUCCAACCUGCAGGACGACAAGGUCUGCGGGGCCUUCUGGAGGCUGGUCCUGGCCCAGCGCUGGAUGGAGCACCUUCAGUCUGUGGCCGGGGCCAAGAUAGAAGAACACGUGAGAGCGGUCAACGUCGAGAUCCAUUUUGUCACCUUAUGUGCCUUCCAGCCCCUCCCCAGCUGUCUUCGCCUCGUCCAGACCAACAUCUCCCACCUCCUGCAGGACACAGCCGAGCAGCUGGGGGCCCUGAAGCCCUGGAUCACCCAUCAGAAUUUCUCCAGGUGCCUGGAGCUGCAGUGUCAGCCGGACUCUUCCACUCUGUUGCCCCUGAUAACCCCGGGGGCCUUGGAGGCCACCCCACUGCCAGCUCCCGAACCCCCUCUGCUGCUACUGCUGCUGCUGCUGCCCGUGACCCUCGCGCUGCUGGUGGUCGCCUGGUAUCUACACUGGCGAAGGAGGAGGCGGAGGACUCGGAGGACACCCCACCCCGGGGAACUGGUACCCCCCGAUCCCAGUCCUCAGGAGGUGCUGCCCCUACGGUCCCUGGAAUCCUGACUUAUUGGGUGCUCAGGGUUUCUCCUGGCUUUGUCCUCAAGAAUCACUCCUCGUAUUGCUUGGGGGACCACAUGGGAUGCCAGGGACCCAACCAGGAGUCUCAGAAAACCUAGUGAAUCAGAAGCAUCUGUCGUCCCUAUUUGCAGAGGACAUCAAAGCCCGGAGAAGCAUAUCACCGAUCUGGAGGGAACUCAGUUGGCCACUGCCCCUUGUCUGGUUUUGCUGUUCUCUUUCCCUUAGGACCAUGGUGAUGCCAGGGCAGGGCCCUACCUGCCUCCCUCUGUACAAAGUUCCUGUGCCCUGGAAAUUGUAUA